rnacentral:tRNA from 1 species
GCUCCUAUAGCCCAACUGGUAGAGGCUGCACGUUGAGAUCGUGUAUAUGUGCAGGUUCAAUUCCUGUUAGGAGCACCA